GUAUGAAUGGCAUCACGAGGGCUUAGCUGUCUCCCCCUCCCAGUCAAUGAAAUUGAUUUUCCCGUGCAGAAGCGGGAAUAAGAACAUAAGACGAGAAGACCCUAUGGAGCUUAAGACGCCAGGGACAGCUCAUGUUAAACACCCCAGAAACAAAGGGAAUAAACUUAGUGAAACCCUGCCCUAGUGUCUUUGGUUGGGGCGAACCACGGGGAAAAACUUAACCCCCAUGCGGAAUAGGAAUACUAUUUUCCUAGACUCAAGAGCUCCCGCUCUAAUAGACAGAAUUUCUGACCAAAAGGAUCCGGCAAUGCCGAUCAACGGACCGAGUUACCCUAGGGAUAACAGCGCAAUCCUCUUUAGAGUCCCUAUCGACAAGAGGGUUUACGACCUCGAUGUUGGAUCAGGACAUCAUG
rnacentral:rRNA from 1 species